CCCUUAGAUGUUCUGGGCCGCACACGCGCUACACUGAAGGAGGCAGCGUGUACUCCUGGAUCGAAAGAUUUGGGUAACCCGCGAAUCUCCUUCGUGCUAGGGAUUGAGGUUUGCAAUUAUCCUUCAUGAACGAGGAAUUCCCAGUAAGUGCAAGUCAUAAGCUUGCACUGACUACGUCCCUGCCCUUUGUACACACCGCCCGUCGCUACUACCGAUUGAAUGAUUUAGUGAGGACUUCGGACUGGGACCGAUGCGGCUUUCGGGCUGCGUCGGUAUUCUGGAAAGAUGUCCAAACUGUAUCAUUUAGAGGAAGUAAAAGUCGUANCA
rnacentral:rRNA from 1 species